CGGCCCCGGCGGAGGGAAACGCAGGCGGCGGCGGGUUCGCGGCUGCAUCCCCCUCUCCGGUGCGACCCCCGGCAUCCUCUUCUGGAGCCAGCAGGGCCCGACCUUUCCAGCGGAGGACCUGAGGUGGAUGAUGCACCAAGUUGAAAAAUUACUUUGCUGGUUCAGCCAUUGACCUAAUAAGUGUUCCAGACAUCCCGAGGAGGGCAUGGACAACUGGAAAGAAAGCAAACAAAGUUCGGCAGAGGAAUAGUGAUGGCAUCAUACUUGACUACAACUUUCUGAAUGGCGUGAAGAUGACUCUAAGGAGUUGGCAGUGUUAAAGCCCCAAGAAAAACACAUACUUUCUGUCAGCCCCUCAUGCCUGCACCCAUGACUCUCACAACACUUAAAGGAUUCUAGCAUCUACAAGCUUAUGAAUUAGUCUCAAGUGUAAUAUGAUCUUUAAAAUGAGAUCUUCUUGAUUGUAAUAGACAACAGACCAAUUAUGCUUAAAACCAGAAUCAUUGU